AAUUAAAUGAGCCAAGCUUGAAUAAAAUAAAAGGCUCGAAAUUCAUUUCAAGCCGAGCUUGAGUAUUACUCGGCUCGUUCGAAUUAGGCUCGAAAAGCUCGAAAAGCUCGAAUAUAUAUAUAUAUAUAUAUAUAUAUAUAUGAGUGAGGCUAUUAUGCUAUCGGAAGCACGGAGCCUUCCGUGCUUCCAGCUCGUUUUCGAUGUUGCGACUUUCGAAUCGUCGAUCGGCUCCGUUAAAUUUGAUCUAGAGUAUUUGAAGUACCUAGAAAAUAAAUUUUAUGAUUUUACGAUAUCAUUUGCCUAGUGAACGAAGAGGCUCAAAAUCAACGGCUGAAAAUAAAAAUCUUACAAAAUAUAAUAAUAUGAUAUUAAAAUUUUAAAUCAAAGAUAUUGAUCUUGUUUUAUAUAGUAUAAAAAAUUUUCUAUCAAAAUUUCACGUGAAUUGGAUAUUUCUACACCGUUAAACUUACAAACGGCUCACUACGGUCAUUGAAAUUUGUUGAUUUUGAGCUCAUUCGAUCACUAGGCAAAUGAUAUCGAAAAAUAAUAAAAUUUAUUUUCUAGGUACUCCAAAUACUCUAGAUCAAGUUUAACGGAGCCGAUUGACGAUUCGAAAGUCGCACCAUCGAAAACGAGCUGGAAGCACGGAAGACUCCGUGCUUCCGAUAGCAUAGUAGCCUCACUCUAUAUAUAUCUCUCUCUCUCUCUCUCUCUCUCUCUCUCUCUCUAUAUAUAUAUAUAUAUAUAUAUAUAUAUAUAAGCAAAUUAGAGUGGAAAUGCAAACUUGUAAAGUGAGAGAAUGUGACCCUAGUUUAACCUCUCUUAUUCAUAUAUUUAUGAAGGUUAAACAUACUUAGGAGUUCGAAUUGACAUUCUGACGGGUCGGCGACGCACUAAUUACGGUAGAAGUCGUUUAAGCUCUAUUUGCACGGAGUCGCGAGAGCUCAUUAUUGACACAGUUCGAGACAUUAAUUCUAGCUGUUGGCAUCCCUACAGGUGGGUGGUGCUAUCCGAAAUCUUUGAAUUCCCCUUUAUGUCUAUGAUAUUUCAUUAAGCAUAUUUAUAUAUGAAUUACUUAUAAUCAUGCAUUAUAGGGUAGUUGACAGUAUAUGGUCAUUAAUUGAAUGUUGAAACUUAUGUUGAUGUAAAACAUAUGAGAGCAUAGCAAACUUGUGGAAAUUGCAUUGUGAAUAUAGUAAACCUUAUAAAUGCAUGGACUAUGACAAUAGUGAAUCUAAUGACAUCAUUGAUUAGUAUUAAGCAUAAAAUUGUGAAACUAGCAUAAAGGGCUAGUUAGAGUAAAGUGUGGUAUUGUCUUUCAUUGGAUCUUCUAAAGGAAGAUCAGAUCAUACUCACAUCAGUGUUAUGUUCAAGGAAGGUCGCUCCUCCUUGAACGAUGAGCUCCGAAGUAGUCAUCUUAACUGGACUAGGAGCUAGCGUCUCCCCCAGUUGACAGUCCCGUCGGGAUGUAGCUUGCGUCUCCCCGAUAUUUGGGAUAUCGUCGGUGAGUUAUUGUUAACCAAAGGGUUAACCAGUUGAUUGGGUAAAAUCGUUAAAAGCAUGUAUGCAUAUUUAUCAGUUAUUAUAUAUUGCUUCUUUCAGCUUUGUACAAGCAUUGUAGUAGUUACAUGUUAUAAUUGGUUAUUAUCUGUUUACUUUUCUUGCUUAUAUAUGCCUGAAUAGACCUAGUGGGUGAGUCGGCGAGGUCGGCGGCCGAACCCACUGGGAACUUUCAGUAGUUCUCAUACCACUAACCAUACAGGUUCCAGCGCGAGCGGUGUGGCCGAGAAUCGCGGCAGGAGCCCAGCAGUUUAGCUAGCAAACACCCGAGUUUAGUGGUAUACCAUUUUGGGUUUCAUGUUGUACAUAAUGAUGAACAUAGGGAAAUGUAAAUGAAAGUGUAAAUGAUGUAAAUGACUAAAUGCUUCAGUUAUCCAGUUUUAUAGUUUUAAAAUUACAGUGAAUACAUGUUUAGUUAAGUUCAGUUUCACUUAUUCUUGCUGUUUGCCCUCGUGCAAGCCAUGUAUAUUAAAAUGUCAUCCUGAAAAUUAUUUAUUUCUUUAUACAUGUACUUGUUGUUGUUGAGCCUUGGGCGGACAGGAAAAAAACUGUCCGUUCGGCGUCUGUGUACGGGCUCGAAUCGACCAAAUUGGCGAUAGCGGGACGUGACAGUGGAAUUGGUCAAUUUGAUAUAUUUAUUGAUGUUUGGGGUCAUUAAGUUUAAUCUAAACAAACAUAAUCAAAAUAAAGCUUUUAAAAAGUUUAGGGGAUAACAUUUAAUUACCAAAAGAAAACUAUGCUUAGAAAUUAAUAUCAAAACUUCAUUUGGUAUCCCAAUAACAAAUCACACCUGCGUUAUCUAAUAUGGGCACAAUUGAUGCCGUUAUAUCUUAAACUCGGUUUUAGCGAUUCGGUGCUGACAACCCCAUGAGCACAAAUCAUGGGCCUGCAGUAAGGAAUAUGGUGACGAACUGACGAUACAUAUUCCAUUUAUAUUCUUUAAUACUAAAUUUAGUACCUACAGUUUUGACACCCAACAAUAACACUCCAGUUAGGAGCUCAUUUUUUUUAGGCCCUCCAGAACUAGCUAACUAGCCCUUUUUUUGUGCCGUAUCUAACCUACGUUCCUUUCAAUGCAAUACACUGUAUUAGGACACCACUUUCAAGUCAUAUACAUCACAAUACGGUGAGGGUGGAGAUCGAGGGCUCCUUUUGAAAAUAGCUGGACACCGGAUCUCCCUCCAUUUCACCAGUCCAAGAACCAACUAAGCUCUCUUGGUUCUCUUCACUAGGUCCUCCUCCCAACCCGAGCUCCUUUUCUAAGUACUCCAACCACCCGUUGACUUCACAACUGUUUGAUUCAUUCCCUUCGGACGCUGCCGGAUUCCCCUUAGACCCAAAUUCCUCCGUGGGCCCCAUUUCCUGACUAUACAGCCUCGCAUGUUCGUCUUCGAUCAUGGUCCAAAACUCGGGCUCGAUGGGUAUUUCCAGAAUCUCGAGGGGAUCUUUCUCAUCUUCUUCCAUUUCAAUAUAAUGAAGGGCUCCUCUCGCUUCAUUGCUUGUAUCAGAGUUUGUUUCGAAGGAAUUCGACGAUGACGAGCAUGAUGACACUGAUAGAGAAGUCGAAUCGAUAUGGAUAGUGCUACGCAUGUUUCCGGUAUCGGUGUCCUCAGGUUGGCUUGAGAUAGGAUCCACCAGCAUGCCCCAUGUGUCGGUGUUGUGCUCAAUAGGAAUCUCAAAUUUCUCAAGAGUAGGAUUCAUUGGAUCAGGUUUUGGGUUCGGACCAUCACCAUCACAUUUCGUCCCGCCUUGAUCGGAACAAGAUGUGGAUGUAGAAGAGGAGGAGGGGCUCGUGGCCUCUUUUUGCUUGCUCUUCUUAAUAUUGUGAUCUCUUGAUGCCAAUCGCUUCUUCAGGUGCGUGUUCCACACAUUCUUAAUCUCGUUGUCAGUUCUCCCUGGUAGGCAAGAUGCGAUUUUCGACCAUCUACAUGAUCAACCAAUGUUUAAUUAAUGUCUAAUUUGACUGAAUAGGAAUGCAAGGUACUAAGAUUGAGAGAAGCAAAUGAUAUCGUUUUGAUCAUUGCUUUGGCAUCAAGAAUACUUGAUGGGUUGUGCCAUACUUGUUUCCAAGUAAAUCGUGCAGCUUUAUUAUCGUCUCCUCUUCUUCUUGGGUGAAGUUCCCGCGCUUGAUGUCCGGUCGAAGGUAGUUGAUCCAUCUCAGGCGGCAACUCUUCCCGCAUCGAAGCAAACCUGUUGCAAUCACACAAGAAUACAGAAAAAAGUAAAGACAUAGCCGAGAUUGCCGACUAAACUCACGUCACUGUUGCAUUGUCCACUAUAUAUAUAUAUAUAUAUAUAUAUAUAUAUAUAUAUAUAUAUAUAUAUACAUACAAGUCUAAACGUUAGGCACUUGAGGACAUAAUCUCGUUUUCUAUUCUUAUAUAUAUAUAUAUACAUACAUAUAUAUAUAUAUAUAUAUAUACAUACAAGUCUAAAUGUUAGGCACUUGGGGGGACAUAAUCUCGUUUUCUAUUCUUGACUAAAUGGGAUCGGUUCACUUGCAAACAGAAUCUCAAUGCUCUAAUGCAGCAAAAGUCAUAUCUGCUCGCUUUUAAAUGCUGGUCUUUUCAAGCCGAGGCUUUGAAAGAACAUCAUCAAUCGAAUUCGAAGUCCAUAGACUCUGGGAAAAUCAUGAUCCUAAUUUCUAAGGAACAGUGUUGAGUACAUAUUAUUUACAAAAAAAUAAAAAAAAAUAAAAAAGACAAACGUUCUUGAGUAGCUUAAUUAAACAUGUGAAGAAAGAUCAGUUGUUGUUACGAUGAGAGAACUGAAAUUGAUUUUAGAGAGAGAGAGAGAGAGAGAGAGAGAGAGAGGGAGAAAGAUCGACCUGCUUGUUUGGGCAGAGCACGCCAGUUGCCGUGCCCAAACUUGUGAAUGUAGGCUAUGAGCCGCAUGUCCUCCUCCGGCGUCCAUGAGCCUUUGUUCAAUCCAAUCUUCGCACAACACGGAGCUCGCCCUCGGCCCAUGUAUGUGAAACACACACACGCUCACACACAUAAACACAAUCACUAGUAGAGAUCACGCUCUCUCUCUCUCUCUCUCUCUCUCUCUAUAUUAAUCCCUGACACCAAGCUUUCUCUACUUGCAAAGCAGAGGCAGAGUGAGCGACUGCAUAUAUAUAUACAAGUAGAGAGAGAGAGAGAGAGAGAGAGAGAGAGAGAGAGAGAGAGUGUGUGUGUGUGUGUGGAGACAAUUCUGAUAAGAACAUUUGGGCCAACAAUCUGGGCCUACGUUUUAGAUUCUCUCCUCACCAAACCCUAGUAAACAAAACAAAGUCCAUUUCACUGUGCACAUGUCAUGGUCUCUCCCUUUUGUUUAAAACAGUCUACACUACUGCUCUCAUCGCACACCAUUUUUUCCAAGCAACUCCUCUGUAUAUAUCCCCUAAGUUAAAGCACAGACAUCGCAUACAUAUAUAAUAUUAUAUAUUACAUAAUAGAGCUCAAGUGACCAUUUUUUGAGGAGAUAUAGCACUUAACUAAAUCAUAACCAGUAGUGUGGGGUAGUUAGGCACUCAUAACUUUGGCCCCAUUAACCGUGGUUGUUGAUCUCUCUCGGUUGUAUGAUUAGGACUCCACAUUAAUUUCUCAUAUUUCCUUAAUUCCAUUUUAUUGCUUCUUAAUUAGAUCACCCACUUGUCAUUAAGCAAGAUAAUUGCUGGGCAAAAAAAAAAAAAAGAAGUCUCCUUAUCUUUCCUUUUCUUUUUUUCUUGAGAGAGAGAGAGAGAGAGAGAGAGAGAGAGAGAGAGAGGGAGGGAGGGGUCUAGUUAAGCUUUUUAAUUGUAAAGUUAAUAACAAAAGGCUAACUAAUCUCCUUUUGGAGACCUGUCCAAAUUAAACAAAAGAAUAGCACAGCUAAUGAGUUCUGGUAAAGUUGGGUCCAAAUUGGAGUGGACAUGUCGGUGCAAGAAUUUGCUUAGGCAGAUAGUAAAAUCACAAAUAAGAAAAUUUUGUUUACAAACUAGCUAGUAAAUAUAAAAUCAUCACGGUUAAUUGACUUCAAGGCUUUAAUUUCCACUCUGAAUAUGAAAAAAAAAAAAAAUGUAAUGGAUGCCGAUGAUAGCAUGCCGGAAGGUUCUAAUUAAUUAAGUUCUUGCUAUGCUAUGGUUGUUGUAAUUAAAAUUGAAUAUUCAUUAAAUUCGAAAGAUGAUAAUCUCCGGAUGAUAUGCUGUAAAUUAAGAGUGCACUCCAUGCGUCAUCACAAUCAUCAUCAUAGAAUCAUAGUCGUCAUCGCCAUCACCUGAGAAUCAAUACGAUACGUGUAUUAUUGUACGGCGCAAGGGUGACUACUUAGAAUUGUGCAACAUGAGGAAUUAGGCAACAGUGCCAACUCUACACAAGUCUUCAAAUUAACCUAAGCAUAUGUAUAGUACGUACAAGUUAACCUUUGUUAGUAGUACUGAGGGCCUGAGGCAUGCAUCUUACAUACUAUAUAUCACAGACGAAACCCGAAAGAGAAAACACAAACUAUACUUAUUCUGUGUAUUAGUGCUAGCAAUCACCAUGCUUGGAAUCAAAGCAAACAGAGGCAACUACUGGGUCUGUAUAUAGAAAUCCUUUCGUGGUAAGUUAUUGGUUUUGUUUCACAUGUACUACAACAAUUUGUUUUAGGUACACAAAAUUUAAGAUUAGUCCUUUACAUCUGAGUAAGCACUUGACCAACCAUAUUUGUCCAUCCACACCUUCAAUCCCACGUUUUAGGUGACCAGAAAGGAAGAAACCACACUUUUGGCCAAACCCUUGCUCAGUCCCUUCAACAACCCUUUCCCUUCUUUAAAUACAAUUUCCCCAUCCUAAGUCUUUGAGUUAGGGUAACCAACAUUUAAUGCCCCUUUACCUUACCUUUACCUAACUUUUGACAUGUUUCCUUAGCUCUAGGAAUUUUUUUUUAUUGUUGUAUAGGACUUUGUACUGGGGGGACCCAGGAACUCCUGUAUGGUAUGAAAUGUUUUAGGUCUCAAAUACUGACUGACUUCCCUUAGGUUUUCUACCUAUUGCUCACUGACAUUUUAGCUACCUCCUUGUCACUUUUCUGGUCAGGAGUGAAAGAAAAGUAGCAAUCAAGAGAAAAAAGCAAAAAAACAAAAGAAAAAAGCAACAAAAUUGCUGCUUAAGUUGAGUCCAACCAAAUCCCUGAUUGUGCAUGAACUCAACUAUGGAGUAAGUUCUCGGAAAAGAAGUAUAUAUCUGAAUUUUAAUGUUUUUAUUUUUCCUGUCUAGUCAUACAAUAUUUUCGAAAUAGUAGCUAAAACUUCAACUCAUUUGAUUUGCUGUUAUAGAUCGUAGUGGUAUUUAUAACAAUUUUUUUUAUAGAAUAUUCUGUACAUAAUAUUUGGUUACUUGACGGAAAAUUCUAUUGAAAAUCUUAGAAAUAUGUUAAGGUUAGAUAGUAGAAUCAAAAGUUUAAGCCCUUUUUUUUGUUAUCAACAUUUUUAAUUUUCUUCAACAAAAACUCUAUUUGGAAGAGUGUAGGAGUGGAUAAUGUAUUGCUAGCAAUUCUUACAUUCAAGGUAUUUGUUAGCAACAAAUCCUAAAUCCUAAACUCUAAAACCAUAAAAGAAACAAAAUGUUUUUUUUUUUGAGAAAGAGGUAGCUGUUAGAAAAUUGCGUACGGUAAAACGCAGCGGAAAAGGAAAUCAAACAAAUUUGAUUUUGAAAAACUCUCGAGAUCUAAUCUCAAAAACCACGCAAUUAGGAUCCCUCAUGUUCUUUAAGAUUAAAGGAGAAAAGUAAGAUCGAAUCAUUACCUUUUUCGCGGAUAAAUUCUUGCCUCAAUUUGAUGAUCGUNGGAAUUAAUCACCAAUGACACAUGUCUCAAAUUCUCAACACUUGAGAAUAUAUGUCAUCAUCUUAUUAAUUCCUUGGACGAUUCAUGGACACAUACACAACAUGAAUGGAAAUAAAAACCCAAAGUUAUUCAUAAUAUUUUAAAAUCAAAUACAAAAUUAUGUCCUAGAAAGAAUACAUGUGUCGGCCUGGUUGGCUUCUAGGGCAUACAUCUAACAGUAGCAAGCUACCUGCUUCAUUCAUUAAGACAAAUGAAUUAAGCGUACAUGAUGGAAGCAGCUGAGGCCUCCAAAAGGCAAAAAACGAAAGGCAACAAACAUGGAACAAAAAAUAAAGCAGAAAAGAGGGGAGAAAGAGAAAAGCAACAACAGUAGAUCAGUACGACCUCCAAACCCCUUAGGGUUUAGCACGCCAGUCGACUUUCAGCCGUUAAAGGUAGGGAGAAAGAGAAAAGCAACAACAGUAGAUCAGUACGACCUCCAAACCCCUUAGGGUUUAGCACGCCAGUCGACUUUCAGCCGUUAAAGGUAGGGAGAAAGAGAAAAGCAACAACAGCAGAUCAGUACGACUCAGUCCAAGAGGAGAUGAGAGCUUUGGCUCGUUCGAGAGCCAGUGUGGCGUUGGGAGAUUUCGACCGGAAGAUAAUGUUGUUUCUUUCCGUCCAUGCGACCUACUAGAUUGCAGCCAGGAGAGUUAGUUCUUUGGCUCGCUUCGCGAUGUCGGAGAUAUUGGUAGUUGUGAUCCACAGGGCUCGGGCAUUAGUAGAGUUACUAGCCGUUUCCAGAUAUGCGCCACGAAGAAGUAGGUACUCGACGAAAACGCAGCUAACGAAGAGAUGGUCGCAGCUUUCGGAGCAUACAACGCAGAAAACACAAUGUUGGUCGACUAGCAUGCCCCUGCUAAGCAAUCUGUCAACAGUUGGUAGCCGCUUGCGAAGAAGAAGCCAGAUGAAGAUUUUGAUUUUUUUUUGGAAUUUUAAGUCUCCAUAUGUGUUGGUUCAUCAGGUCUCUCUGUCCUGCAUCAGGAAGAAAGCAGUAAAGAGGUUUAACUGAGAAUAUCUGGUUGGAAGUCUAUCGCCAUUUGGGUGAGUCCCGACAAGUGUUUGGGCUACAGUGUUGGAGCAAGUCUUUGAGCAUCGUCAUUUGUCUGUGGUUUUCGACGGAGUGUGAUGCCGCAAAGCCUCUACAGAUGAAGCGCCAUCUCCAGCCCUUUGAAUUCCAACAUCUAGAAACUGUUACGGAUUUUUUGUUAGCAUAUUUCGUGAAGUAAGUCGGAGUCUUGAAAGUUUGAAGAAGAAGAGAUGAAGAUCGAAGACUCGAAGACUCAAAACAUGAAUCCACAAUGCUUGGUAAGUUUAAAUACUAUUGAUGAUGAUUUAUAAUAUUUAAAAGUGUUUGGAAGACUUAGGAUGGUUUCAAAAUAUAAUAUAUGGACAAAACUGAGCCUUUCAAGGUUCGGGGACCGGUUCCUGAAUUGAGGGACCGGACCUUGUAGGUCCUCUCUGCGUGAAGACUGCGAGGGACCGGUCUUUGAAGUGGAGAGACCGGAUCCUAUAAGUUGAAUUUUUCAUUACGCAGCGAGGGACCGGUCUCUGAACCGAGGGACCGGUCCCUGGACAGAGAGACCGGUUCCCGUGACUUGGUUUUUCUUAUACGCAAAGAGGGACCGUUCCUUGGCUUGGAGGACCGGUCCCGUAAGGACUGUUCUCUUCGGGAGGACUGGACCCUGAGACCGUCGUUUGUUUCUAAAAAUCAGUUUUUCAAAUCCUAGUCUAUCUCUAAGUCUUCUAAACUUAUAAAUAAGAUGUGAGGGUGUUUCAAAAGUACGGCUAAGCAUAGAAUAUCUUUUUGAAACCCUAGAAACUCUUUGGGUGCUUUCUUUCUUCUUUCCAACAACAAGUUUCGAUUGGAUCAAUUCUUGAAACCCUAAUUUCUCAUUCUUCAUGGAGAAUUGAUCCGACUAUUGCUUAGAAACAUCUUCUACGGUUUUUUAAUGAUUAUCUAAGCAAUGAAAUAUUAUCGAUCGUAUUGUUUUUGCUCCGGACGGAGUGUGCUCGUGGAUUUGAGUGGGCGUCGUGGAUUCGGCGUGAUCAAGGCUUCGAGGAUUCGAAGUGUAGACGUCUCGUGGAUUCGGGACGUGGCGUUCGUGGAGUCGGACGUGGGGCGUGGACAACCCGUUGGUGUGCGCGAGAUCCAAAGAAGAUAAAAGAGAGGUUUGAGUCCGUGGAUUCUGUAAAUUACCUUGUAAUCUUUUAUUCUUAGUGGAUUGUUAUCGCGUGUUGGUCCCGUAGGUUUUUUACUCCAAGUUGGAGUUUUCCCACGUAAAUCUCAGUGUGAUUUUUAUUUUCCGUAUUUACUUUUAUCGCAUUGAGAUUUAUGGUUUUUGGCCUAUUCACCUAUUCACCCACCCUAGGUAUUUGAUACAAUCUAGAUAGAUCCUUGGGCUCCUCAAUAACUAACAAUUGGUAUCAGAGCGGGAACUAGAUAAAUUAUUAUCUAAUGGCCGAAGGCGGUAACAUUAAUCGACCACCACUCUUUGAUGGCACGAAUUAUGCCUAUUGGAAAGUUCGCAUGAGAGCUUUUCUAAUUGCAAUCGAUUAGCGCGUUUGGCAAUUAAUCGAAUUCGAAUGGAAACAUUCUACCGAAGUCGUCAAUAAUGCUACCGUCCCUAAACCGAGAAAUAAAUGGACGAAAGACGAAAAUGAGUCAUCUUCGUUCAAUGGCAAGGGAAUUAAUGCUUUAUUUAAUGCUUUAUCGCAAACGGAAUUUACUUGAGUAUCGGCAUGUGAAACCGCCAAGGAAAUUUGGGAUACUUUUGUAAGGACUGAGAUUUUUGCAGUGCAGCUAAACUCUCAGUUGACGAUGUUUUUGUGUGUAAUUUAAUUACAAAAGCACUCGUCAAGUUUCGGGCGAAAANGUUUGUGGAUUUGGAUGUUGAUUCUAUGGAUAUCGGAUUUUCUUGUAUUUACAUAUCGUGGUCUUCUACCCCUCGAGGUAGCUGGUUUUCAAAACAGAGUUUCCUUGUGGGAAACAGUUUUAAAAAGGUUUUCAAAUGGUUUUUCAUGAUGAAUGAAUUAGAGUUCAAAAAUAAAAGCUUCUGUGUGAGGAGCACUUUUAAAUAGGAUGGUUGUUGUAUUGUGCAUUGCAUCAUCCAGCGCUUAAGGAGUGCUUAGAGGCAUGCAUCAUUCUAAGGAUUGUUAGCUGUAUGGAAAUGCAUAUCAUGCUUUGGUUGUUGUUUGGUAAAUGUAGGUUGUGGUUGAGAUCCUGUUGUAUCCGUUGGUACGCCGUGCAAAUACAAAGGAGACUCUGCCCGAGUGGACAGAGGAACUUUGUAUUUGUGGCGGGUCUGUACGUCACGUGGGCCAGGUUGGAAAAAAAAAAAAUGGCACGCUUUCCGCAACUCUGUUUUCAAAUGGCUUUUAAAAUCGGCCCCGGGGCAUGACAACUUUCGAAGUUACGCAUGAAGGAACUAGCUUGGUAAAGGUCCAAAAUUUGCAAAUGUUAACAAGCAAAUUUGACUCAAUUUUUAUGAAAAAAAAUGAGACCUUUACCGAGUACUAUACUCAACUUCAAGAUAUAAUUAAUACAUGUGCUAACUUGGGAGAGAAAAUUCCGGAUUCUAAAGUUGUUAGAAAAAUUCUUCGGACUCUUUUGGAACGCUUUAGGCCAAAGGUUGCCGCGAUCGAAACCGUUAAGCUUCCGGACGAGAUGAAAGUCGAAAAGUUAGUAGGUGCAUUACAAACUUAUGAGAUGACUUUUCCUACUAAUCAAUCUUCUUCCAAGUCUUUCUCUAAAAGUACAGGGAUUGUAUUGAAGUAGACAAAGGAGGAAGACGGGGAUUCGGAUUCCAACGGAGAGGUCUCAAUUGCGGAUUUCGAACAUCAAUUAGCGCUCCUAUCGAAAAAGUUUCGUUGAAAUUUUCGAAAGAAGAACAAAUCGAACAAGGCUUCAUCUUCGAAGCGUAAAUCUUUUUCUAAACAAUCUUCAAGUUCAAAAUCUAAGGAUAAAAAAGUUGCAAAGUUUUCGAAAGAAAAAGAUGAAUUUGAAGGAGAAAUCCUAUGUUACAAAUAUAAAGGCUAUGGCCAUAUUGCAACGGAUUGUUCUUCUAAGAAAUAUUAUAAACAAAAGGCUUUGCAAGUAAAAACUUGGGAUGAUUCUACUUCGAGUGAAUCAUCGUCAAGUGACGAAGAAAAAAAUGAAAAUCUUACUUUAUUUACUAACACUUCUUUGCCUUCGUCUAAUGUUGUUUAUUUAUCCUCUAUUGUUACUAAUUCUAGUGUUUCUCCUUCUUUGCAUGGGUCUUCGAGCGAUAAUGGCGAAAGUGAGGAGGAAUCAAACGACGAGGAUAUAGCGAAAGCGUAUAAUCAACUUCUUAUCGAGUCAAAAAAGAUGGCGAAGCAUAAUAAGAAGUUGAGGCGUCGUUUAUCAGACCUUGAAGAGGAAAAUAACAACUUGAAAACAAUGAAUAAAGCUCUCGAGGAGGAAAAGGAAUCAAAAUUGAAAGAUAAUUCGAUCCUCCAAGAGAAGCUUGAUGAAGCGGAUUUAACGAUCAAAUCUUAUAAAGACAAGAUUGGAUUUUUGGAGCAACAAUUCAAGAAAACAUUCACAUCCAAUCAAGUCUUGACCAAUCAAGUUCGUCAACUUCAAUCCGACAUUGAAAAGUUUUCUUCAGGAUCAAAGAAAUUGGAUCACAUGCUCGGAUUAGAUCAAACGAACAAGUUUGGCCUUGGAUAUGAAAGGACAUGUGUUGAGAAGGAUUCAAAAUUAACUUCUAAAGUCUCAACAACUUUAAAGGAAAAGAUGUGUCAUAGAUGUGGCAUCAAAGGACACAUCAAAAGGAAUUGCCCGACGAAGAAUAAGAAAAAUCAAUCGGCAAUUUCUAAACGUCCGGUUGCACCCUCCAUUACUCAACUUUCCCCAUGGAAUCAAAACCAAAAUCAAUCGAGUCGAGCACCUCGGAUCAACCAAAAGUCAAAAUCAUCGGUACCGAACCACAACAAAUCAAGACAACCAUUAAUCCAACAAGUUUGGAUUCGAAAAGGUGAUAUCUUUUCUUGUCUUAAGUCUUAAUUUGUGUUUGACUUCAUGUUUUGCUAUGAUUGGUUUUUAUUGCACAUCUUUUGAUCAUUGCAUUACAAGUGCUUUGAAUUUUUGGGAAUAAUUUGGUGAUUAGAAUAUUAAAUAGUGCGUUGAAUAUCGAUAAUUUACUUUCAUUCAUUUUGGAGUAAUUUCAUAUUAAUUAUCGGUUUUACUUUAUUUUCACUAUUGAUGAAGAUAAUUUAUUAUAGGAUAUCUUAAUUCUUAUAUUCAUCAAAUUUAAGUAAUCAUGUGUAAUCUUUAGACACUUAACCUAUCUCGGUUGUGUGUGUUGAAUUUGAUGAAUGAAUAUUUGCUAAUAGACUAAAAUAUGUCAAAUUUUCUUUUAAAUAAGAGAUUGCAUAAUUAAGGGGGAGUUACACAUAAAUAAAAAAUAAAUAAAUGAAUGAAUGAAAAAGGUGAAACACUCCAAGUGCUUAAAAGAUGUGGAAAGAGUUACAUCCCAAAAGGAAGUGUGAAAACUACCACCACAUGUAGAAAAGAGCUACCAUCCCGGUCGUUCGGUAAGUGUGUGAAGCUACCACAUAAAAGUUUAGUGCAUAACCGAAAAGGUUGAAAAAUGUUCAUAUUAUAUAAAAUUUUUUCGGUGUAAUAAGGUGGUUUAGUAAAAAGAUGCUCAAAGAGCCAUCCCUGUACAUUAUUGCUUGGUCUCAAAUUUGAACGUUUAUGCGACAAAUUUCUGUCAUUUAGUGGAUUUUCACAAGUCAUCUUUAUAAUCCGUUACAUCUUGAUAGAUUUUGAACCUUUAGAUUAUUUUUGAUGACUUGAUCUUGAAGUAUAUAUGAAUAAAGAAAUUUUAUUAUAUUUUAUCUUCAUCUUGGUGAUUUUGUAGUGAAAUUCUUAAUUUUUGUGAAAUUGAUGUGGAUUGAGCGAAAUCUAUGUGAAUUUAUCAUGUUCGUGCACUAACAUUUGAUUAGCACUCUCAUUUUUGGUACUUUCUUUUGGCAAUUUUUGACAAAAAGAGGGAGAGAGAUGAGAUUUGAGAUUUUAGAGAUUUUUUAAAAGAAAGGGGGACAUGAACAAAGGGGGAGAGAUUUUCAUUCGACAUGAACAAAGGGGGAGAGAUUUUUAUUCGAUUUUCAUAUUUUUACUACUAAUUUUUAUUUGUGAUGAAAGUAGUUUCGCAGAUUUUGAAGACUUCAAGACUCCGUGUGUCUAAGUCAUAGAGUUUGUUUAGAAGUUACAAAUUGUAAUUUUGUAUUUUUCGGAUCUUUCACGCGAGAAGUUUAUUGUUUUAGUGAUGGCAAUGAAUUUCAAUUUUUUUAAUUUUGGAGAGUUGAGCGUUGUGAGUAUUUUGAUGUAUUUUUGAGUUUUGUCACGAAAUUGCCAAAGGGGGAGAUUGUUAUGGAUUUUAUGUUGGCAUAUUUCGUGAAGUAAGUCGGAGUCUUGAAAGUUUGAAGAAGAAGAGAUGAAGAUCGAAGACUCGAAGACUCAAAACAUGAAUCCACAAUGCUCGGUAAGUUUAAAUGCUAUUGAUGAUGAUUUAUAAAUAUUUAAAAGUGUUUGGAAGACUUAGGAUGGUUUCAAAGUAUAAUGUCUGGAUAAAACUGAGCCUUUCAAGAUUUGGGGACUGGUCCCUGAACUGAGGGACCGGACCCCGUAGGUCCUCUCUGUAUGAAGACUGCGAGGGACCGGUCCUUGAAGUGGAGAGACCGGAUCCCGUAAGUUAAAAUUUUCAUUAUACAGCGAGGGACCGGUCUUUGAACCGAGGGACCGGUUCCCAUAACUGGUUUUUCCCAUUACGCAGGGAGGGACCGGUCACUGGACAGAGAGACCGGUUCUUGUGACUUGGUUUUUCUUAUACGCAGAGAGGGACCGGUCCCUGGCUUGGAGGACCGGUCCCCCAAGGACCGGUCUCUUUGAGAGGACCGGACCCUGAGACCGUCGUUUGUUUCUAAAAAUCAAUUUUUCAAAUCCUAGUUUAUCUCUAAGUCUUCUAAACCUAUAAAUAAGAUGUAAGGGUGUUUCAAAAGUACGGCUAAUCAUAGAAUAUCUUUUUGAAAUCCUAAAAACUUGUUAGGUGCUUUCUUUCUUCCCUCCAACAAUAAGUUUCUAUCGGAUCAAUUCUUGAAACCCUAAUUUCUCAUUCUUCAUGAAGAAUUGAUCCGACUAUUGCUUAGAAACAUCUUCUACGGUUUUUUAAUGAUUAUCUAAGCAAUGAAACAUCAUCGAUCGUAUUGUUCUUGCUCCGGACGGAGUGUGCUCGUGUAUUCGAGUGGGCGUCGUGGAUUUGGCGUGAUCAAGGCUUCGAGGAUUCGAAGUGUGGACGUCUCGUGGAUUCGGGACGUGGCGUUCGUGAAGUCGUACGUGCGGUGUGGAAAACCUGUUGGUGUGCGCGAGAUCCGGAGAAGAUAAAAGAGAGGUUUGAGUCCGUGGAUUCGGUAAAUCACCUUGUAAUCUUUUAUUCUUAGUGGAUUGUUAUCACGUGUUGGUCCCGUGGAUUUUUUACUCCAAGUUGGAGUUUUUCCAUGUAAAUCUCGGUGUGAUUUUUAUUUUCUGUAUUUGCUUUUAUCGCAUUGAGAUUUGUGGUUUUUGGCCUAUUCACCUAUUCACCCCUCUCUAGGUGUUUGCCUAUUCACCUAUUCACCCCUCUCUAGGUGUUUGAUACAAUCUAGAUAAAUCCUUGGGCUCCUCAAUAACUAAUAGAAACACAAGCCUCCUUGUUAGUAAAAUUGGCGAAGAUAUCUGGGAACAGGGUGCGUAGGGGGGUUUUUCGAUCCAGAUAUCAGACCACAUCUUGAUAUUAGUACCGUCACCUAGUUCGUAGGAUACGCCGCAUUUGAACACGUCGCGACAUCGGACCAUGCUUUUCCACCAUUGCGAGUAGGGGACAAAGGUUUUGCCCUCAUGUAGUGGUUUACGUUUGGUGUAGUAGAGAGAUUUUAUUAGUUUACACCACGAGAAAUUUGGUUCAUUGAGGAAGCGCCACCACCAUUUGGUUAAGACGGCCAAGUUUAUAGCGUCCAUAUCUUUUAUCUCUAGCCCUCCUUCAGACUUGCUUUUGCAGAUGGCUUUCUAAUUGACUAGACAUGCUCCUCCAGAGAUGGUAGAAGUCCCUUUCUAGAAGAACGCUCUUCUUAGGGCCUCAAUCCUGUGGAGUACCCAAUGUGGUGCUUUGAAAGUAGAUAAGUGAAAUAGCGAUAAGUUGGCAAGAACCGAAUUGACGAGAGUGAGUUUUCCUCCUUGAAAGAGAAGUUUAGCUUUCUAUCCGUCGAUUCUUGCGCUAACGCGGUUGAUAACCAAGGACCAAUCUUUCUUACAUAAUUGUUUGUUGUAAAGUGGUAGCCCCAAAUAUCCGAAUGGUAGCUUGCCCACUUUGAAUCCUAGGAUGUUGGCCAGUCUGUCGGCUUUGCGCAGUAGAGAUCCCAAGUAGUACAAUUCUGAUUUAUUCUGGUUAAUCCUGAGUCUAGAGGCCCACUCGAAGAUCUUCCGAAGAAACUGGAGGUUCCUCAUAAAAUAUUUCCCGGGAUCACAAAAGAAUAAAGUGUCGUCGGCGUACUGAAGAAGCACCGUUUCGCAGUCAUCAUUUGGGCCAAUUCCUCGUAGUAGAUUGUUGCUCCUAGCAUUUUCGGUCAGCCUGGCUAGGCAAUCAGCAACUAAAAUAAAGAGAUAGGGAGAGAGCGGGUCUCCCUGUCUAAGGCCCUUCCUUGCUUUCAGCCAUCUUGUCGGGGUGUCGUUGACUAAAAUAACCACUUUGGCAUUACAUAUGCAUUGUUCGAUCCAGGACCACCAUUUUUCACUAAAGCCAAGCCAUCUCAGAAUACUCUGCAGGAAGGUCCAUCUAACGUUGUCGAAAGCUUUUUCGAAGUCAGCCUUGAUACAAACGCAUUCCGUGCCGAAUUUUGAGCACCAGUCGACUAGUUCGCAAGCUGUGAUAAAUGAGUCUGUUAGCAGCCGAUCUUUGAGAAAGGCCGAUUGGGAAGGGGAGAUUAUGGAUGGUAGAGUAAGCGCGAGUCGGUUGGCGAGGACUUUAGAGAUGAUUUUUUGGAUUCCGUUGAUGAGGCUGAUCGGUCGAAAGUCAUUUGCCUUGCGCGGUCCUUCCUUUUUGGGGAUGAGGCACACAAAUGAGUAAUCGAUGGGUCCCAAAAAUAGUUUGCCAGCCUGCAGAUCAAGGAAUACGUUGAAGAUGUUAUCUUUUACUGUCUUCCAGAAAGUUUGGAAGAAAAUAAGGGGAUAGCCGUCUGGCCCCGGGGCCUUGUCGCUGCCUAGUUGGAUGGUAGCUGUCUUGACUUCCUCAAGAGUGAAAGGGGAUGUUAGGGAGUCGGGGUUGCACAGCCUAUUAGAGUGGUAGAGGUUGCUCCAAUCUCCAUAUGAUGGAAGACAUUCGUCCGCAAGACCAAAUUGACGUUUAAAAGCAUGAAAGAAGUAAGAUCUUUUUUCCUCUUCCUCGGUAAUUUGCCUCCCUAAUUCAUCCUCAAUGACGUCAAUGGUGUUGCUUCGUUUCCGACCGUUAGCCACGGCGUUAAAAAAUUCAGUGUUUCCAUCGCCCUCCUUGAGCCAGAGUUCUUUGGCCCUGGUGUUCCAGAGGAUUUCUUCCUCUUUUAAAUAAUGCUGCAGUUGCCCUUUGAGAUUGGUCCGCUUAUCCAGGGUUUCUUGAGGCAGAUCAGAGUAUUCCUCUAGAUGGUCAAUUCUCUGAAGUUCCUCCAGUAUGAGCUUCUUAGUGUGGAAUAUACUGUGAUAAUUAGACUUGCACCAUUCCUUUAUCCUAGUUCUGCAAUGCUUGAGCUUAGCAGUUAUACUGAGGAUGGCUGAUUGCUUACGGGGGACUUCAUUCAACCAACUCGGUACUUUCGAGAGAAAGUCAUCCUUGGUGAGCCAAACCUUUUCAAAUUGAAAUCUUCGUGGCGUGGGUAGGAGUCCGAUGGUGAGAAUGAUCGGUGUGUGGUCAGAAGUGAUCCACGGGAGAGCCUUGACCUUGCUAAGGGGAAAAAAAAGGUCCCAUUCGGUGGAGACGAGGAAUUUGUCAAGUUUGGCCAGGGAGGGUUCAUGUUGCAUGUUAGACCAGGUGUAGGUUUGGUUUGACAUUGGUAAAUCGAUGAGCGCUAGAUCUCGGAUGAGGUCCGAGAACAUUGCUAUGGAUUUGGAGCUCCAAGGAUUUCCUCUUCUUUCGGCUUGGUGUCUAGUGAAAUUAAAGUCGCCGCAAAUAACCCACUUGUUGGAAUAGAUCUCGUUGAGUGCAAGCAGUUCGGCGCAAAAUUUUCUUUUCUGUCCCAAGUGGAGGGCCCAUAAACGUUAGUAGAAGGUCAUGUUGGUAGCAAGGUGGGUUAGGUUGAGAGUGAGCGUGUGCUCGCGAACCAAGACCUCAUUACACUUAAAAAAAUUAGAAUUCAAGCACAUGAGUAAACCGCCGGAGGCCCCGGAAGCAGGGAUGAGGUGGCACCGGUCGUAGCGAGAGCCGCAACAAGAACGAAGGAACGAACGGGACACGGAGUCCACUUUAGUUUCUUGAAGGCAGACAACAGUACUCUGAAGAUUAGACAACAAGGACUUGACACAGCGACGCUUGGCCGGGUUGUGCAGACCGUGAACAUUCCAACUUAACAAGUUAAACAUCAGAAAAAGGAAAAAGACACACAACAGUAGAUGACUCGGAUACGACAGGGAUACAACGCCUAGGCUUCUGCCGACAGGAAUUUUUUAAAUUCCGUAGCAUUAGAGUCAGUGAGUGUCACCCCGCAUAGUAGGCUCCACGCCUUGAUUCUUUUUUGGGACCACUUGUGCACUGGAGUUGCCGGUGUGGUUGGUCCCUCCUUGAGGCGGUGCGCUUUUCUGCGCAUCGCCUUACAUAGCAUAAAGUCCAUCGUUUGCGUGGCCAAGCAAGCGCUCGAUCUGGGCGUGUCCAGGGAGAGGCGUUCAGAAGCAGACUGGUGCGGCACAUCUUGAGGUGGGCUGCCAGAGUCGGUCCAAGAGAAGGCCGGAUCAGAGCUGGGCCGGGGCCCAAGACAGAUGGAAAGAAAUGGAUCACUGCCUGCAAUGGGUAAAUAGAGGUUGGGCCCAAAACCAAAACAGCUAGGAUCAGAAAUUAGGUAGGUUAGGGUCCACCACGGAUUGGGCGAGAGAGGCGCAGGGUCCGAUGCAGUAGGAAUACGUGAGUCGUCCAAGAAGGAUGGCCCGAAGUUCAAAUAAAUGCACCAACGAUGCUUCGCAGAGUUGAAAAUCCCAUGAAAUCCAACUUUGUCAGAAGCUUCUAGAUACAGGAGCCAAGGGUUAGCCAGGGGGUUUCCAUAUUUAGGUAAGAGGGCAAUGAUGGUGCUGGAGAAGCAGGCGCCAGAUAAGAGGAAAGAGGAAAAGGUAAAGGCGAUGUCAGGUUGCAUGAGAAUGGAAAGGCCAACGGCGUGGAAAUUUGAAAGUGAAAGUGGAAGGCCCUCCUUCCGGGCAGAAGCUCCGUCGAUCGUCGGAGAAGUGAUGGAGGGAGGUGAUGGCUGCCAGGCCAUAAAUCACGACGGGGGAAAAGCGUCACACAGCAGAGGGAUGGAUCCGCAUGGCGGAGGGGGGCGUUGCAUCGCGGAGGGCUGGUAGGAGGCGCCGGCUGCCCGACCAUUUGCCGCGGCAGAGAGGGAGUGUCGCAAAGCGGAGGGAGGGCAUCGUCUGUCGGAGGAAGAGCAUCGCGUUGUCUGUCCCGAAUUUCUGAGGAAUUCUAGGAGGCAUUGGAGUUAGAUGAACCUCUGUUCUCCGAGCGUCUCCCUCGUGCAGAGCCGACGGAGCGCUGACCGUCUCUGGGAGAUGGUUUGGCAGACGAGUCAUGCUGGUCCGUGCGUUCAUUGUGGGGGUUGGCACGCUUCCCCUCCUCGCUGCGAGCCCACUUUUCCAACUGAAUCAGCACAUAUAGCGACAGACCCCCAAAGGAGAUCUCCAAGUAUUCAAGGAUAUCAGAGAGGUGGUUGACAGCUACCAGGCACCGGUAGCCGGAGAGGUCGACCAUGCGAGCGCUGGAGUCGUCCAAUCUGAUGAAUCAACCGAAAUCGCUGACGAGGGCCGCCACGGUUCGAGAGGACCAGCACUUGUACGGAAGACUGACGAGACGAAUCUAGGCUUUGUAGGUGAGUGGCGGCCGCCGCAUGCCACUGUAAGGGAUCCAGGGGAAGCAGUGCAGUCGAAGAUCCCCCAGACUGAGGAUGUCUCUGCGAAUGAGAUCGUUGCAUGGCACCCAUUCCGGGAGGAAAACGACGAAGUCUCUUUCGCGGUACUUCGUAAUGUGGAAGUCGGUUGGGUACCCACCGAAGCGACUCGCAAGGCCAUUUGCGAUAGUGUCUUGGGGGAAGUGAUCGAGAUUAGCCGGGGGGACGACAUCUACCAGGAUCGUGUUUCUGUGGCGAUUUUGGCAGGCAAAGAAGUCGUAAGACAAGGGAACAAAGGUUGUGAGAUAUGAAAGGCGAGUGCGCAUUGCUCUAUAGAUCUCCAUCGGCAAACGGUGCAUGCAGUGCUUAGCUCUGUGGCCCGACCUAAAGCACCUGGUGCACCUGACUGUAUCGUGACAAUGAGCGGCCCGGUGAUCCCUUCCCAAGCACCUAUAACAUUUGCCUUUGAAGGAGAAGCGGCUACAGGUCGAAGAAGUGGGAUGAUGCAAUCUCAAAGGCAACGAACGAGAGCGGGUGUAGGCAGGGAGGGAGAAGCAGGGCUGAGGAGCGCGUCCUUGUACGUCCUUUUAAAGGACGUGGAUGGGGGGCGUUUCUUCCAGUUUUGCCUAUCAGGUCGAGGCUUGUCCUCGGGUAUAAGCCUCUUAGCAGCUUGGGAUAUGGUGGGGGAAGUAAAUGACCCGGAGGUUCGGAGAGGGUCGUCUUUUCUGAAGUAGGUUGUCCGAGUUAAUGUGUUUGCCCAGGUAACCUUCUUGGAUUUGGAGCAGCCCUCGUAUCCAUGAUUGCCAAGGUGGGUGGCUGCUUUAACUCCCUUGCUCAGUUCCAAGUAAAUCCCGUUGGAUCUCUGCUGCGAAAGAGAAUGCGGACCAGUUUUCUUCUCCUCCGAAAACUCGGACACCUUCUUCCCAGUCUUUCUAUCUUCUUGACGCUCAGCCACCUUCUUCCCAGAUUUCUUCUCCUCCAGAAGCUCAGCCACCUUCUUCCCUAUCUCCUUCUUCUCCAGUGAUUCAGUCACCCUCUUCUCAGCCACCUUCUCAUUGCGUUUCUGCAGCGCGCGGAGCGCACGAAGCUCCAUUUCCUAACUUGUGUCCCUAAUAAAGCUAAAAAAGAAACAAAAUGUUAGAAGUAACUUUUUUUACUUCUUUGGUUUUCAAUGCCAUUCCUUACCGGGCCAAGGUGUCUUGCAAGCCGACUUGGGGCCGUUUGGCCUAUAUUCUGAAAAAAUAGUUUCUGCAUAAUUGAUUUUGGUAUGAAAAAUUGAUUUUGAUAAAACGCUGUAGAAUGCUCGGCUAAAUUUAGAUCGAAAGUGAUUUUUCUAAAGUAAUUUUGUAAAUCUAUUUAGCAAAAAAAUUUUGAUGUUUACAAAUAAUAAUUUUUUAUACUAAAUUUUAUUUAAUAAUUUAAAAUUCAAAUUUAAAUUUAAAAUUUAAGUUAAAAAAUUUUCAUGUUCGCAAAUAAUAAUUUUUUACUAAAAUUUAUUUAAUAAUUUUAAAUUCAAAUUUAAAUUUUAAAUUUGAACUUAAAUUAAAAUUUUAAAUUUUGAUUUGCACAAAAUUUAAAAUUUGAUAUUUUAAUUUAAAAUGUAAAUUUGAAAAUUGAAAAUUUAAAUUUUAAAUCUAAAUUUCAAUUUUCAAUUUCAAAAUUUAAAAUGUAAAUUUGUAAUAUUUUAAAAUUAAAAGUUUGAAUUUUAAAUAUUUUAAUUUUGUAAUUUAAAAAUUAAAACUUAGAAAUUUAAAUUUACAAUUAAAAUUUUAUGUUUAAAAUUCUUAAAUUUCCAAAUUAAAAUUUUUACAUUAAAUUUAAAAUUUGAACUUUAAAGUUUUGAAGUUUGAAAUUUAUAAUUUGAGAUUAAAAUUUAAAUUUUAGAAAUUAAGAUUUGAAAAGUAAUAUCCAAAUUUAAUUUAGAUUUGAAAUUUAGUUGAAAUUUGAAAUUUGAAAUUUAAAUAGAAAAUUUAAAAUUAAAAUUUAAAUUUAAAUUUAAAUUUAAAAUUUGAAUCUUAACUCAAAAUAAAAAUUAAAAUUUGAGUUUAAAAUCAAAAUUAGAUUUAAUUUGGUCUUGAAAAUCGGAAAACUGAUUCUAAGAAUCGAAAGAUUUUGGAAAUGAUGUUACCAAAUGCCCUAUUGCACCAAAAAUUACUUUUGGAGCCAAAAUCACUUUUCAAAAGAUAGGCGAAAUAUCCACUAACUAGGAUAAUAUGAAUAAAGAAGUCCAAUGGUGGGGGUAUCCAAAACAUAGAAUUUGUAUUUAAAAUAAAAAGGAAAAGGAAAGAAUACCCAAAAAGGGCCUGGGCGUUUAUAUAUCUAUUUCAAAACACUCUUUAUAGUAAUGUAGUAAAAUCAAUAUUUUCAAAGUUUAAGUAUCUAAUUUCAAAUACACUAUGGUGUAGUUAAGGUUAUAAGGUUAUAGUUUCAUAAGGGUAGUGCAAAGUGCCAUGGGCAAUGAUGCGAGAGAUACAUGCACACUUUGAACGUGUGCAUGUAUCUUCUUUCUCUCGCCAAACUUCUUUCGACGUGAGUAGGGCUACUAUACUAUUACGAGUAUUGGGUCAUUCGUACUCAUAAGUUGUUUUCAAUGACGGAGCUUCCGAAUCGACGAUCCACUCCGUUAAAUAUGAUCUAGAGUACUUGAAACUUCUAGAAAAUAAAUUUCGUAAUUUUUCGAAAUCAUAAUAAAGUCCAUCAAGCGGGCAUAAAAUAAACGGUCAAAAUCGAACGAUGUCUUAAAAAUGGAUGAUCGGAUCCUUCAAUUUAAGAUCGGAGUUAUUGAUCUUUAUCUAGGUAGUGAAUAGAAUUUUCUAUCAAAAAUUCAACCUAUUCGGAUUCUUUUGCACCGUUAAACUAGCAAGUAUUCCAUACCGGCCGUUAAAAACUGUCAAUUUUGUGAGCUUUUGAUCGUAAGGUAAAUGAUGUCGAAAAAUUAUGAAAUUUGAUUUCUAGAUGUUUCAAAUGCUCUAGAUAACGUUUAACGGUGUAGAUCGUCGAUUCAGAGCUCUAUCAUCGAAAACAACUUAUGAGUACGAGAGCGAUCGUACUCAUAAUAGUAUAGUAGCCGACUAUAUAUUAUAUAUAUAUAUAUAUUAUAUAUAUAUAUAUAUAUAUAUAUAUAUAUAUAUAUAUAUAUAUAUAUAUAUAUAUAUAUAUAUAGUAGAGUUAUUAUACUAUCGAAAGCAUAAGGUAGUUGAUGCUUCCGAUUUUUUAGCCCUUGGAUCAAUCCUUUUGAUCAUUUUUGACUAUUGGAUUAAUAUUAUUAUCCAAUGGGGACCACUUAACCCUAGGGGGACCACUCAACCUUAAAGAGAAUACUAUCAUCCUAACCAUACAAUCAUUGACCCAAGGGCUAAAAAAUCGGAAGCACCAACUCCCUUAUUGUCACGCCCCGGGACCACCUAUUUGGUCGGUUCGGACACGUUGAACAGACGACGAACGGACAGCACCUCCCCUAUCCGUUCAAGGCUCAACACAUGUACAAUUUAAGUAGAGAGAAUGCACAAGCGGAAGCAUACACAAUGGCGAGGGCAAGCAGUAACCAAAAGUGAAAGAUUCUAAACUAAACAUCCAUACAAGUAUAAUGAUUAACUUUUAAUCACAUACAUGCAUACAACUCUUACAUUUACCUUCAUAUUAUAUUCUUUUCAUCAUUUCUUUUAUACAUCUCAUUUUCUCCAAAAUAGAACUCUUUACAUUCAUUCAUUAUUUAUACAAUUACAUCUUCAAAGACAAAAGAAGAUAUAUAUCCAAAAGAGUAUGCAACUAAGCAAAUAAUAAAACCGACUCGGGUGGUCACUGUCUACGGCGCGAUACCCUUACCGCGAUCGUCGACUGAGUCGCUCGGUCCAGGCUCUGUGGAAAUAGUGGGGUGAUAACUACAAUAAAGUUUUCAGUGGGUUCGGUCGCCGACCUCGCUGACUUUCCCACUAGGUCUAAAUCAAACGUAAUAGAAGAAUAGAGAGAUGGUAACCAACUAAACCAAUGCAGCUAAUAUGCCUGAACAAAAUAUAAUCAAUAAAGAUGCUCAAUAGAUUGCUCAUGAUGAAUGCAAGAUUCUUUUUCCAAUUCCCAAAUCCAUUUGGCUAACCCAUAGGUUUCGCCAAAGCAACUCACCAACUCAUAAUCCCAAUUGUUGGGGAGGCUACUAAGAUCCGACGGGACCGUCCUCUAGGGAGACUACUACGACCCAGUGAUGACUACUCCCGAGCUCAUUGCCCGAGGGGGAGCUACCACCCUCCGAGCCAAGACGUAAAGGCGAGUAUGAUCCAAUCCUUAACUAUAAGGAUUUCAAGUUCAAUCCAAUCCUUAACUAUAAAGAUGUAAUGCUCAUAUGACCUUUAACUCUAAGGUUACUAUGUCAUUAUGCCAACUUUCACAUGUACUUGGAUUCUUUAACUUUCAUUAGUGUCAGUUACACUAUAUGUCCUUUGUACUCAAUUUCUAACAUUUAAUACUCAUUAAUGUCACACUUUUUAAUGUCACACACACAAACUCUAGUGUUCUAUACUCUAGCAUUCAAUAAAUAUUCAUUAGCGCCAUAUUUGUACACUAGCAAUUCUUGACUCAUAAUGCCACCCUCUAGGUGUUCAAUACUCAUUAAGGUCACAUUAUCAUUUAUGUCAUAAUAUCACUAUGUUCUUUAUUGUCGCUAGAUUCAUUGCCUCAUCUAGGUUCUUUGUCACCCAUCAUGCAUACAUAGGAUUUUAGAAGUUCUCAUUAAGCCACAAUCAUCUCAUAUGCAUCUUAACUCAAAGCAUGCAACAACAUAUGCUCAAUCACCCUACAAUGCAUGAAGCUCAACAUGUACACAUGCUCAAUAAGUGACACUUUAGACAUAAAAGAAAAUUCGAGGAUUUCGGAAGGCACCACCUACCUCGUAGGGUUGCUAAGGUGCUACGGUUCAAUCCUUGUGAUUUUUAGCCGCCUAUUCUCUUGCCUGCGGCAAAACGAAGCUAAAUUAAGCUUUUUACCCAAUAUUAUUACUUUGACUCGUCGGAUCACCGAACCGAGUUCAUAUUCGGGUUAGAAAUACUCCCAACUAGGUUUCUACAAGAUCAACUUUGAUCUAAACCCAUCCAAUGCAAAAGCUCCAAUUUGGGUGCCCUAAUAAUGUCAUAUUGCAAUAUACACCAUUUUGAUCUCUUCUAUAAGCUAAAGCAAGCUUAAUUUCCUCAAGAGAUCCUACUAAAACCAAUUCUAGGUCAUUCUAACCUCAUUCUAGGGUUCUACCAUGAGAGGGCUCAAGGCUUAUCUCUAAAGCUUUCCUUUUCUUGUACUAAGGAGGAAGAAGAAGAGGUUGCUCCACCUUUUUGUCUUCUUCUCCACCAAAUUCACCUCUUGCUCCGACACUUAGAGAGAGAGAGAGAGAGAGAGCCUUUAGAUGUUGGUGUGAGGGAGAGAAAAGAGAGAGAGAGCUCUCAUCCCCCACAUACAUACCCCACUAAUGCAUAUUUGCAUAAAACCCCUCCAACAUUGCAACUCAUGCACUGCCCAG
rnacentral:lncRNA from 1 species